UAUGUAGGGUGCGAGCGUUAAUCGGAAUUACUGGGCGUAAAGCGCGCGUAGGUGGUUUGUUAAGUUGGAUGUGAAAUCCCCCGGGCGUCAACCUGGGAACGUGCAUUCAAAACUAGACUGACUAGAGUAUGGUAGAGGGUGGUGGAAUUUCCUGUGUAGCGGUGAAAUGCGUAGAUAUAGGAAGGAACACCAGUGGCGAAGGCGACCACCUGGACUAAUACUGACACUGAGGUGCGAAAGCGUGGGGAGCAAACAGGAUUAGAAACCCCCGGUAGU
rnacentral:rRNA from 1 species